UUCAAGGUAUAGCAUGUCAAUUUUUAGCUCAAUUGGACAAAAGGAACUAUGUCAAUGAAAAUCAAGAAAAACAGACACAAAUAUAUGAGCCAAAUCACAACAUCAACACAUGCAUUCACUUCAAAAAUUCAUAAGUCAAUGAAAACAAUAAAGAAAUGAAUGGGACCAAAACAGGGAUGUCCUACAAUGUGUCUACAACCAGCAUACCAAAUUUCAUGUUUAUCUAA
rnacentral:lncRNA from 1 species